AGGAGGGAGGGGUCUGGCCUCCGCUCCCAGGAUUGUACAUCCUGACCACAAGGAAGUGACGUAUCACAGAGGCAAGGACACCUGCUGAGGAGGAAAUGUGCCCGCUUGGCUCCGCUGUGUGGGAGCGUGUGUGAAACAGUGAGAGAGGAGGAGCAGCGCAGAACUGCUGUGCAGAGGAGCAGCGGCUGCAACUGAGUCCAGGACCUGGCCCUGGCCCUGUCCAGUCACCGGGACUGGGAGAAGCCAGGGGCACCGGGUCUGGGGGCUCUGCACAGCCCAUGCAGAUUCUCUCCCUGAGCUUCCUGCACCCUGACCGGCUCCAACAUCAGACCUGACUCAGGGCCGGACAAGGAAGCAGAGGGGCCCGGAAAUGCAGAAGUGGUAACACAGAGAUUAGAUCCUCUGUGAGGAGGCUCAACCCAGUCCCCACCAAGGGCCUCGCGCUGCUGCAGGUGACAUUUGUGCUGGAGAAAUGACCCUGAAGGACCAGGCCGCGCGGCUGCCUUCAGCUCUGCUCCUUCUUCUUGUCCCAGGCUCUCUGUCUCUGAGUGGUCCCAGAACCGUGACCGGCACCAUCGGGGGAUCCCUGAGUGUGCAAUGUCGGUAUGACGAGGAAUACAGAGAACAUAAAAAAUACUGGUGCUGAAACUCAAAGUGGCCACCGUGGAGGAAGAAGAUUGUGGAGACCACAGAGUCAGAGAGAGAAGUGAGCCGUGGCCGCGUGUCCAUCAGGGACCACCCUGCAAACCUCACCUUCACCGUGACCUUGGAGAGCCUCACAGAGGCUGACACAGGAACUUACUGCUGUGGGAUCGAUACACGGUGGUCUGAAGGAGUUUUACAUGACCCCACCUUCCAGGUUGAGGUGUCUGUGUUGCCAGCAGCCCCCACCCCGAAGAUCUUCACAAGCACCCCAGGUCCUCCCACAACCCUGCCAGCAACCACCAGGUCCAGCACAACAAGGCAAGAAACUGCAGAUCCCAGCCAACACCAUCGGUCCCUGCUCAGCAGCGUCCGCUUCCUGCUGCUGGUCUUCCUGGAGGUGCCCCUGCUCCUGAGCAUGCUCAGUGCUGUCCUCUGGGUGAACAGACCUCUGAGGGGCUGUGGGCAGAGGCGGAGUCAGCCUGAUUGUGAGAACCAGUAGCACCUGUUGGGUAUCGACGCCCCG